UACAGAGGGUGCGAGCGUUAAUCGGAAUUACUGGGCGUAAAGCGCACGUAGGCGGCUUGGUAUGUCGGGUGUGAAAUCCCCGGGCUCAACCUGGGAACUGCAUCCGAAACUGCCUUGCUAGAGUAUGGGAGAGGGAAGUGGAAUUUCCGGUGUAGCGGUGAAAUGCGUAGAUAUCGGGAGGAACACCGGUGGUGUAGACGGCUCUCUGGACCGUAACUGACGCUGAGACACGAAAGCGUGGGUAGCAAACAGG
rnacentral:rRNA from 1 species